GACGAACGCUGGCGGCGCGCUUAACACAUGCAAGUCGAGCGAAGCGGCGGACGGGUGAGUAACACGUGAGUAACCUGCCUUAGACAUUGGGAUAGCCUCGGGAAAUCGGGAUUAAUACCGAAUAGUCUAAGAUGGACUCGCGUCCCAUUAGCUACUUGGUGAGGUAACGGCCCACACAGGCGACGAUGGGUAGCCGGCAGGAGAGGGUGAACGGCAACAUUGGAACUGGGAAACGGUCCAAACUCUACGGGAGGCAGGAGUGGGGAAUAUUGCACAAUGGAGGGAACUCUGAUGCAGCGACGCCGCGUGAACGAAGAAGGCUUUCGAGGCGUAAAGUUCUGUUAUAUGGGAAGCGGUACCAUAAGAAAAAGCCACGGCUAACUACGUGCCAGCCGCCGCGGUAAUAC
rnacentral:rRNA from 1 species